GCUCCCCCGCUCCGCGCUCACUUCCGCUGGGCCGGUGGCAGCGGGCGGCGGCGGAGGCAGGCCGGAGCUGCAGUCAGGCGCAGAGAGCUGCUGCGGCACAGCCUGGGAGCUCCCGCUGUUCGCUGGAGAGCCGGCCACCCAGGGGGGGAAAAAAGGCUCUGACUAAAUCCCAGGGACCUGCCGCUAGCUGGAGACCACCAUGACGGACUCAAAGUACUUCACCACCACGAAGAAAGGGGAGAUAUUUGAGCUGAAAGCUGAACUCAACAGCGACAAGAAGGAGAAGAAGAAGGAGGCUGUGAAGAAGGUGAUAGCGUCCAUGACUGUUGGCAAAGAUGUCAG